GUAGGGGGCAAGCGUUGUCCGGAAUUAUUGGGCGUAAAGCGCGCGCAGGCGGUUCGUUAAGUCUGGUGUUUAAACCAUGGGCUCAACUUAUGGUCGCACUGGAAACUGGGGAACUUGAGUGCAGAAGGGGAAAGUGGAAUUCCACGUGUAGCGGUGAAAUGCGUAGAGAUGUGGAGGAACACCAGUGGCGAAGGCGACUUUCUGGGCUGUAACUGACGCUGAGGCGCGAAAGCGUGGGGAGCAAACAGGAUUAGAUACCCUGGUAGUCCACGCCGUAAACGAUGAGUGCUAGGUGUUAGGGGUUUCGAUACCCUUGGUGCCGAAGUUAACACAGUAAGCACUCCGCCUGGGGAGUACGGUCGCAAGACUG
rnacentral:rRNA from 1 species